rnacentral:rRNA from 1 species
ACGGAGGACCCAAGCGUUACCCGGAAUUACUGGGCGUAAAGCGUGUGCAGGUGGUUUGAUAAGUCGAAUCUUAAAGCUCGAGGCUCAACUUCGAGAUUGGGUUCGAAACUAUUAAACUUGAGGAUGGUAGAGGUGAGUGGAAUUCCCGGAGUAGAGGUGAAAUUUGUAGAUACCGGGAGGAACACCAAUGGCGAAGGCAGCUCACUGGGCCAUUCCUGACGCUCAGACACGAAAGCGUGGGGAGCGAACCGG